rnacentral:misc_RNA from 1 species
AUUAACCAAGUCAUUUGGCCACCCAAAGUUGUUAACCUAAAACUGCCAGAACCAGUUUGUGCCCAGAAAUAUGGGUUAAGUCCAAUCCGGCAACUAUGAUUCAAAUGGCUAUAACUUGAAAUGUUACAUUUACAUGUUCUUGUUUGCUUGAAUUUGUAAGUUCAUGUUUAGGUCUAUGUGAGUAUGCAGGCACAUGUCAGUACUCUAUCCUUUCGACAUUUUUCAUGUUUCAAGCUCACAGAAAAACUGCAAGAAAAGAUACAUCUGCUGGUUGAAGUUGAUUCUACAUAAUCUCCAUCAUGCAACCCUUAAGUAUUUAUUUCAUGUUAUCAUCCUUUAUGUGGAGCUUCAGUGUUCCAAGUCGAAUGCGAUGCUUGAUUAAAGCUAUCUUUGCAUUACUCCAGUCAUUCUCAAAUGCCAUAAAAGCUAACACUAUUUCUUUAGUUUGUACAAUCAAGUUGUUAGAUGAGAAUGUUAAGGUGGAUG